UACGGAGGGUGCGAGCGUUAAUCGGAAUUACUGGGCGUAAAGCGCGCGUAGGCGGCUGAUCAAGUCCGAUGUGAAAGCCCCGGGCUCAACCCGGGAAUGGCGUUGGAGACUGGUUGGCUAGAGUGCGACAGAGGGUGGUGGAAUUCCCGGUGUAGCGGUGAAAUGCGUAGAUAUCGGGAGGAACAUCGAUGGCGAAGGCAGCCACCUGGGUCGACACUGACGCUGAGGUGCGAAAGCGUGGGGAGCAAACAGG
rnacentral:misc_RNA from 1 species